UACGUAGGGUGCGAGCGUUGUCCGGAAUUAUUGGGCGUAAAGAGCUUGUAGGCGGUCUGUCGCGUCUGCUGUGAAAAUCCGGGGCUCAACCCCGGACUUGCAGUGGGUACGGGCAGACUAGAGUGUGGUAGGGGAGACUGGAAUUCCUGGGUGUAGCGGUGAAAUGCGCAGAUAUCGGGAGGAACGACCGGUGGCGAAGGCGGGUCUCUGGACAGUUCCGUGACGCUGAGGCACGAAGGUCAGGGGAGCAAACGGG
rnacentral:rRNA from 1 species